rfam:Ciona savignyi cont_30410, whole genome shotgun sequence.
GUCUCUGUGGCGCAAUUGGUUAGCGCGUUCGGCUGUUAACCGAAAGGUUGACUGGUUCAAGCCCAGCCAGGGACG